ACGUUCAAUGCAAUUUCCACCAAUCCAACACAGACUCCAGUUGAUCUGGCAGUGUGUGUUACACCUGAGAGAGUUGUUACUAUAGUAAACUCAUCAAUUACUCCUUAAAGUCGGCUUGAAUUUGGUUGUGGCCGAAUAUAAACCCCAAACAUGAAGAAAGCUGCAGUUCUGAAUGUUCAGUGUUCAUAUUAUCAGAUUUUUUUUGUUGUUAAAAACCUCAUAGUAUUUUACCCAAUUUAUGGUAACGCUUGAAAAUGUGGGAUCUAUACCAGAUAUAACCCUGUUAUAGUUGUCAUCCCUAAAUGUAAACUGAGUGGUGAAGAUUGUAAUGACACUCGGACGCUGUGAAUUCAACGAAUCUUGUUGUGUUGAACAUGAACCAUUUGAUAAGUUAUUACUUUUUUUUUACUGUAUUCCUCCUAGAACACUGAAUAAAACUCUUUUUAAGUUA